CUUGGGUGUAAAAAUAUGCUGAGUUAAAUUCUGCAUUUCCUAGCCUCCCACGUGGUUGAGUAGACAUGGGACCCACUUCUGAGAAAUACAAUUGAAGUCCAACAAGACCUCGGAGCAAGCAUGUGAAUAAAGAGGAUGAACGUGGUAUGGGUGUCCGCUCACUGUUCUUUGCGGCGCAUGCCCUUACAGAGUUCACAGGACCCUGUGAUACGUGGGAGUUCAGCGACACUCAAAGCGUGUACAAGGUUUCCUGGGAGUGAAAGAUAGGUGCCUUCCUUGUUUUCCUUUUUCCACGUGGUAGAAUCCCCCAAAGCAACCCCCCCUCCUUCUGAAGUCACCAAAACAUCUCAUUAGUAAAGGCGAGAUUCAGCUCACCAUAAUCUCUCCCCAGCUGAGGCAAAGCUGCA
rnacentral:lncRNA from 1 species